GUAACAAGGUCUCCGUUGGUGAACCAGCGGAGGGAUCAUUGCUGGAACGCGCCCUAGGCGCACCCAGAAACCCUUUGUGAACUUAUACCUUACUGUUGCCUCGGCGCAUGCUGGCCCCCUCGGGGCCCCCUGGAGACAGGGAGCAGGCACGCCGGCGGCCAAGUUAACUCUUGUUUUUACACUGAAACUCUGAGAAAAAACACAAAUGAAUCAAAACUUUCAACAACGGAUCUCUUGGUUCUGGCAUCGAUGAAGAACGCAGCGAAAUGCGAUAAGUAAUGUGAAUUGCAGAAUUCAGUGAAUCAUCGAAUCUUUGAACGCACAUUGCGCCCUCUGGUAUUCCGGAGGGCAUGCCUGUUCGAGCGUCAUUUCAACCCUCAAGCAUUGCUUGGUGUUGGGGCACUGCUUUUAACGAAGCAGGCCCUGAAAUCUAGUGGCGAGCUCGCCAGGACCCCGAGCGCAGUAGUUAAACCCUCGCUUUGGAAGGCCCUGGCGGUGCCCUGCCGUUAAACCCCCAACUUCUGAAAAUUUGACCUCGGAUCAGGUAGG
rnacentral:rRNA from 1 species